rnacentral:rRNA from 1 species
GACGAACGCUGGCGGCGUGCUUAACACAUGCAAGUCGAACGGAAAGGCCCUGCUUUUGUGGUGUGCUCGAGUGGCGAACGUGUGAGUAACACGUGAGUAACCUGCCCUUCACUUUGGUAUAACUUCAGGAAACUGUGGCUAAUACCGGAUAGGAGCUCCUGCUGCAUUGUGGGGGUUGGAAAUUUUCGGCGGUUGGGGAUGUACUCGCGGCUUAUCAGCUUGUUGGUGGGGUAGUGGCUUACCAAGGCUUUGACGGGUAGCCGGCCUGAGAGGGUGACCGGCCACAGUGGGACUGAGAUACGGCCCAGACUCCUACGGGAGGCAGCAGUGGGGAAUAUUGCACAAUGGGCGGAAGCCUGAUGCAGCAACGCCGCGUGCGGGAUGACGGCCUUCGGGUUGUAAACCGCUUUCGCCUGGGAAGAAGCGUGAGUGACGGUAAUGGGUAAAGAAGCACCGGCUAACUACGUG